rnacentral:SRP_RNA from 1 species
GCUGGGUGUGGUGGCGCGCACCUGUAAUCCCAGCUACUCAGGAGGCUGCGGCAGGAGAAUUGCUUGAACCCAGGAGGUGGAGGUUGCAGUGAGCUGAGAUGGUGCCACUGCACUUCAGCCUGGGCAACAGAGCAAGACUCUGUCUCAA